rnacentral:rRNA from 1 species
AGGCUCAGUAACACGUGGACAAUACUGGCCUGAAGAAGAGAAUAAUCCCGGGAAACUGGGGGUAAUGCUCUAUAGUCCGGGAGGACUGGAAUGUUCUCCGGAUGAAAGAUCCGUCGCUUCAGGAUGAGUCUGCGGCCCGAUUAGGUAGUUGUUGGGGGUAAAAGCCCCAAAAAGCCUGUAAUCGGUACGGGUUGUGGGAGCAAGAGCCCCGGAGAUGGAUUCUGAGACACGAAUCCAGGCCCUACGGGGCGCAGCAGGCGCGAAAACUUUACAAUGCGGGCAACCCGUGAUAAGGAAACCCCGAGUGCCACCACAGGGUGGCUGUCCGCCAGUGUAAAAAACUGGUGAAGAAAGGGCCGGGCAAGACCGGUGCCCGCCGCCGCGGUAAUACCGGCGGCUCGAGUGGUGGCCGCUUUUACUGGGCUUAAAGGGUCCGUAGCUGGAUUCACAAGUCCCUUGAGAAAUCCAUCGGCUUAACUGAUGGGCGUUCAGGGGAUACUGUGGUUCUAGGGACCGGGAGAGGUGAGAGGUACUGCCGGGGUAGGAGUGAAAUCCUGUAAUCCCGGUGGGACGACCUAUGGCGAAGGCAUCUCACCAGAACGGCUCCGACAGUGAGGGACGAAAGCUGGGGGAGCAAACCGGAUUAGAUACCCGGGUAGUCCCAGCUGUAAACGAUGCGCGUUAGGUGUGUCAGUGAUCACGUGUCACUGAGAUGCCGAAGGGAAACCGUGAAACGCGCCGCCUGGGGAGUACGGUCGCAAGGCUGAAACUUAAAGGAAUUGGCGGGGGAGCAC